AAGUAGAAGAGGAGGUGGAAAGU
rnacentral:piRNA from 1 species